GACUGCACAGUGGUGCAGUUGGUAGCACUGUUGCUUUGCAGCAAGAAAGUGCUGGGUUUGACUCCCAGACAGUGGUCU